rnacentral:rRNA from 1 species
AGAGUUUGAUCCUGGCUCAGAAUCAACGCUGGCGGCGUGCCUAACACAUGCAAGUCGAACGAGAAAGUGGAGCAAUCCAUGAGUAAAGUGGCGACCGGGUGAGUAACACGUGACUAACCUACCUUCGAGUGGGGGAUAACCUCGGGAAACCGGGGCUAAUACCGCAUAAGCUCGAGAGAGGAAAGCAGCAAUGCGCUGAGAGAGGAGCCCGCGGCCGAUUAGCUAGUUGGCAGGGUAAAAGCCUACCAAGGCAAAGAUCGGUAGCCGGCCUGAGAGGGCACACGGCCACACUGGCACUGAAACACGGGCCAGACUCCUACGGGAGGCAGCAGUGGGGAAUCUUGCACAAUGGGGGCAACCCUGAUGCAGCGACGCCGCGUGAGCGAUGAAGCCCUUCGGGGUGUAAAGCUCUUUCGUCAGGGAAGAUAGUGACGGUACCUGGAGAAGCAGCUGCGGCUAACUACGUGCCAGCAGCCGCGGUAAUACGUAGGCAGCGAGCGUUGUUCGGAGUUACUGGGCGUAAAGGGUGUGUAGGCGGUUGUUUAAGUUUGGUGUGAAAUCUCCCGGCUCAACUGGGAGGGUGCGCCGAAUACUGAGCGACUAGAGUGCGGGAGAGGAAAGUGGAAUUCCUGGUGUAGCGGUGAAAUGCGUAGAUAUCAGGAGGAACACCGGUGGUGUAGACGGCUUUCUGGACCGUAACUGACGCUGAGACACGAAAGCGUGGGUAGCAAACAGGAUUAGAUACCCUAGUAGUCC